rnacentral:rRNA from 1 species
GACGAACGCUGGCGGCGUGCCUAACACAUGCAAGUCAACUUGACUGAAGGAGCAAUCUGACAGUAGAGUGGCGCAAGGGUGCGUAACGCGUAGGUAACUUGCCCAAGGUAAGGAAUAACGUCGAGAAAUCGGCGCUAAUACCUCAUAAUGCAGCGGAUCCGCAUGGAUAUGUUGUUAAAGGUUUACCGCCUUGGGAUAGGCUUGCGUCUGAUUAGUUAGUUGGUGUGGUAACGGCACACCAAGGCUACGAUCAGUAACUGGUCUGAGAGGAUGAUCAGUCACACUGGAACUGAGACACGGUCCAGACUCCUACGGGAGGCAGCAGUGAGGAAUAUUGGGCAAAUGCUCGAAAGAGUGACCCAGCAACGCCGCGUGGAGGAUGAAGGUAUUCUAUAUCGUAAACUCCUGUGAGAGCAGACGAAAGACAGAUUAUUAAUCUGGAUGACUGUAUGCUCAGAGGAAGCCCCGG